rnacentral:rRNA from 1 species
CCUACGGGUGACAGCAGUGGGGGAUAUUGCACAAUGGGGGGAACCCUGAUGCCGCGACGCCGCGUGGGUGAAGAAGCGCCUCGGCGCGUAAAGCCCUGUCAGCCGGGAAGAAAAUGACGGUACCUGAAGAAGAAGCCCCGGCUAACUACGUGCCAGCAGCCGCGGUAAUACGUAGGGGGCAAGCGUUAUCCGGAUUUACUGGGUGGAAAGGGGGCGCAGACGGCGAUGCAAGCCAGGAGUGAAAGCCCGGGGCCCAACCCCGGGACUGCUCUGGGAACUGCGUGGCUGGAGUGCAGGAGGGGCAGGCGGAAUUCCGGGUGUAGCGGUGAAAUGCGUAGAUAUCAGGAGGAACACCGGUGGCGAAGGCGGCCUGCUGGACUGCAACUGACGUUGAGGCCCGAAAGCGUGGGGAGCAAACAGGAUUAGAUACCCCUGUAGUC